AUUGAACGCUGGCGCCCUGCUUUACACACGCAACUCCGGCGGCUCCACAGACAAGCUUGCUUCUUGGGUGGCGAGUGGCGAACGGGUGAGUAACAUAUCGGAACGUACCGAGUAAUGGGGGAUAACUAAUCGAAAGAUUAUCUAAUACCGCAUAUUCUCUGACGAGGAAAGCAGGGGACCUUCGGGCCUUGCGUUAUUCGAGCGGCCGAUAUCUGAUUAGGUACUUGGUGGGAUAAAAGCUUACCAACCCGACUAUUUGUACCUGGUCUGAGAAGACGACCAGCCACACUGGGACUGAUACACCGCCCCGACUCCUACGGGAGGCAGCCAUGGGGAAUUUUGGACAAUGGGCUAAAGCCUGAUCCAGCCAUGCCGCGUGCACGAUGAACGCCUUCGGGUUGUAAACUGCUUUUGUACCGAACGAAAAGACUCUGGUUAAUACCUGGGGUCCAUGACCGUACCGUAUGAUAAGCACCGGGCUAACUAACGUGCCAUGCAGCCGCGGUAAUACGUAAGCGUGCAAGCGUUUAUCGGAAUCUACUGAGCAGUACAGCGUGCGCCGGCGUUAUAUAGACAGAUGUGAAAUCCUCGGGCUCAACUUGAGAUCUUGCAUUUGUGACUGUAUAGCUAGAGUACGCAGAGGCGAUGGAUUCCGCGUGUAUCAUGAAAUGCUAGAUAUGCGAGAACACGAUGNCGANGGCANNNCCUGNCNUGUACUGACGCUCAUGCANNNNAGCGUGGGGAGCAGACAGGAUAGAUACCGUGGUAGUCCACGCCAUGAACGAUGUCAACUGGUUGUUGGGUUUUCACUGACUCAGUAACGAAGCUAACGCGUGAAGUUGACCGCUGUGGAGUACGGCCGCAAGGUUGAAACUCAAAGGAAUUGACGGGGACCCGCACAAGCGGUGGAUGAUGUGGUUUAAUUCGAUGCAACGCGAAAAACCUUACCCACCUUUGACAUGUACGGAAUCCUUUAGAGAUAGAGGAGUGCUCGAAAGAGAGCCGUAACACAGGUGCUGCAUGGCUGUCUUCAGCUCGUUUCGUGAGAUGUUGGGUUAAGUCCCGCAACGAGCGCAACCCUUGCCAUUAGUUGAUAAGAAAGGGCACUCUAAUGGGACUGCCGGUGACAAACCGGAGGAAGGUGGGGAUGACGUCAAGUCCUCAUGGCCCUUAUAGGUGGGGCUACACACGUCAUACAAUGGCUGGUACAGAGGGUUGCCAACCCGCGAGGGGGAGCUAAUCCCAUAAAGCCAGUCGUAGUCCGGAUCGCAGUCUGCAACUCGACUGCGUGAAGUCGGAAUCGCUAGUAAUCGCGGAUCAGAAUGUCGCGGUGAAUACGUUCCCGGGUCUUGUACACACCGCCCGUCACACCAUGGGAGCGGGUUCUGCCAGAAGUAGGUAGCCUAACCGUAAGGAGGGCGCUUACCACG
rnacentral:rRNA from 1 species